rnacentral:antisense_RNA from 1 species
ACUAAAAAUACAAAAAAAUUAGCCGGGCGUAGUGAUGGGCGCCUGUAGUCCCAC